rnacentral:rRNA from 1 species
CCUACGGGAGGCAGCAGUGAGGAAUAUUGGUCAAUGGACGCAAGUCUGAUCCAGCCAUGCCGCGUGCAGGAAGACGGCUCUCUGAGUUGUAAACUGCGUUUGUACGAGGGUAAAAGCAGAUACGCGUAUCUGUCUGACAGUAUCGUACGAAUAAGGAUCGGCGAACUACGUGCCAGCCGCCGCGGUAAUACGGAGGAUGCAAGCGUUAUCCGGAUUUAUUGGGUUUAACGGGUUCGUAGGCGGUCGGAUAAGUUAGAUGUGAAAUCCCGGGGCUUAACUUCGGAAUUGCCUUUGAUACUGUUCUUCUAGAGAGAAGUUGCGGUAGGCGGAAUGUAUGGUGUAGCGGGGAAAUGCGUAGAGA